UUCAGCUUAAAACAAACAUUAUUGACAAGGGACUUUCCAAAAAAACAGCUGAUCUGCAUGCACUUGUUUAACCAGAGAUAUCAAUCGCCUUCACCUCAGGUUUCUUCUGCUCUUCUUUAGGAACAGUUACAGUGAGCACUCCAUCCUCCAUAGCUGCCUUAAUUUCCCCCAUCUUCGUAUUCUCCGGCAGCCUAAAUCUCCUUAAAAACUUGCCACUGCUCCUCUCCAUACGGUGCCACUGAUCAUUCUUCUCCUCUUGUUCUCUGCUCCUCUCACCGCUUAUCUGUAGUAUCCUUCCUUCUUCAACUUCGACUUUCACUUCCUCUUUCUUGAUCCCCGGCACGUCUACUUUGAAGAUGUGAUCUUGUGGGGUCUCUUUCCAAUCGAUUCUUGCAUUUGCGAAAGCAGAGGUUUCACGAGCUGAGGAGGGGGUGUUAGCGAUUGUGCUUGAAAUUGGGAAGCCUUCGAAUGGAUCCCAUAAGUCGAGGGAAAAUGGGUCGAAGAUGUUGCUCCUGCGACCAUCGAAGAAGCUUGGAAUCAGAGACAUCUUGGGGAAUUUGUUGUUUGAAGAAAGCAAAAGAUUGUAUUAUGAAGCUUGAGUUUUUCUUUGAUAGUAGUGUUUGAUUUGCUGAUAUAAAUUUGAGAAAAUGUUGUGCUAUUUAUAGGCGAUGAACCAAGAAACCUGUGUAAUUCCAAUAUAAUCAAGGAUGUUCACCAGAGAAUUCAACAAUAUUCUACAACUUCUUAUCCAAUUUGAGGCUAAUCCAGGAUGUUCUUUGGUUAAUUUUUAAUAGGAAAAAUAAGAGGCUUCUACAAUAUUCCAGAGAAUUUUUUUCUGAAGCGUUUAAGUCAUAAUUUCAGUAGUGCAUACAAAGGUAAAAUGACUCGGGAGGCUUUGUAAUUGACUCUGUUUGUUAGCUGAAUCCGUCCAACUCCCUCCACAAUUGUCAAUUGAACUCCUAAAUCUCCCGUGGUAAGCCCGGCCCAAAGUCAAGAUAUAAACAUAAUAAUGUAAAUUUAAAAAUAUAAUUUAUAUCAUAUAUUUUUUUACUUUAUAAUUAGUAUAAUCAGAUGGCAUAUUAAACAUAUCUUAUUGAUAAGUUUUCAUAAUUAGUAAAAUACUGAAUCACAUAAUUGGAUAAAUUUUUUUUAAAUCUAAUUUGUGAGGACGAAAAUAUUACCAGAGUAUUAUAAUAUAUCAAAAUGCUACAAGUAAUUCGAUAUUUUAUAAAAUAAUAUGAUUUAAAAUAUGUAAUAAUUAGGAUUCAAAGAAGAUCACAAUAGAAAAUAUUGAUAUUUUUAUAAAUUUGUGGGUACGUAAUUAUUUAGUUAUAUAUAGAAAUAAAUUAUAUUUAUUGAGUUUUAGUUUCUCUCGUGUGUGAUUUCAGUAGCAAGACUUUUACAACAUAUUCUUUUUCAUCUUAUAGAAUUAUCUGAAAUAAAAUAUUUCAAUGACUUCAAGAUUAUAUUAUAACAAUUAUAUCCUUAAUUUAGAGUCAUUAUAUAAAUUAACUUAAUAAUGAUCUAUAAGAAUAUUAAACAAUAAUUAAACUAACAUUAAUAGAUUACUCCAUUUGGUCGAUUUAGUUGUUAUGUAUAUUUUUAUAUGCCCCUUAAAAUAAUACCUAUUCACUCCAUUUUAAUUAUUUCUUUAUCUUUUUUCAUAUCCACCAAGAAUUAUAUUAUUUAUUAAGUUAUUUUAUGUAUUAUAUAUGUCUGGAGGGUCGAAUAUAAUAUUAGAAAAAUCUAUAAGGUAAUAGUUGAAAUCAUUAUAAAAUUUAAUUUUAUAUUAAGUUAUCUUGAAUAAUUUUUUUGAGUUAAAGAUAUUGUUGAAUUAAGAUAAAGGAAAUUUUAAUUAAAAGACAAUCUAGCAAGUGGCAAGAAGAAACCAAUUACAAAAUUUUAAAUCUAAUGAUCUUAACAAGAAAAAUAAGGGCAAAAAUAAAAAUAUAUUAAAAAAAUCACCAUCACUUGCUAUGUGUAAUAACCUUAUUUGACCAAAAAAAUAAAAUAUCAAAAAUGCCCUUGUGAAGACUAUCGAAAAUUGAUAUCCUCUCUUAUAUAUAGUAUAGUAGUAAUAUAUAUAUAUAUAUAUAUAUAUAUAUAUAUGAAGAAGCUUCAAGGUUUAAGUUGAAAAUCACCAAAAUAAAAAAAUUGUAUGGACUACAAUAGAUAAGAAAAAUAUCUUAGGAACACAAAAUCAAGGACUCGUACCAAUUACAAACAAGAUAGGAGUAGUAUUUGUUAUAUCUUGAGCAUUACCAGCCGAAGCUAUGGACUCAAAAUCUAUCACCCAAGACCCACAUCGUCACUUCGUUUGUUUCCUCCGAUCCAACAUUUAUAUGUGAUUAAGUUGCGUAGAGCGGCAGAGGUAAACCUUGCAUGGACCCUUACACUUUGUUUGGAUGGUGGUUUGCUAUGAUUUCAUAAUAUACGCUACAGUAUGAGAUGGUAUGGUAUUGUACUUUGGAUGGUUGGAAUAUACUAAAAUAUCCCUAUGAAAUUAUUUUAUUCAAUCACUUAUUCCAGGAACUAAGUAAUAUGAAUACCAGCUACAAAUUGUAUAUCUCAAAAUUAUUAUCCUUAUCUCACCAAUCAAACAAUCCAAAUUUUUUUUUAACUUAACAAUGCAUAUAUAUAUUUUUUCAAAAUUAUUAUCCUUAUCCCACCAAUCAAACAACCAACCCGAAGGUUUUCAUAAUUUGACAACGCAUAUAUAUAUAUAUCUUUUGCGAGGUGACGAUAUGAAAGCAGUAUUAGUCCUGUAUGUAAAGUGAACGGGCUGAUGAUUUCAGAAACUUCAUUUAAAUAGAGAAAUAAUACCGGAUAUUUUCAUACAUAUGCAAGGAUAACAAUUCCCAAAAUUCUAUAAAGUUCAUUAAGUGUUGCAAGUCGAAAUUGUUCUAAAUAUAUCCCGUAACAAACUAACAAUCCAUUGGCUACUAAUUUUACAUCGAAAAACCGUCAUAUGUAAAUCUCAAUACCAAGAUCAAAAUUUUAGCAAAAGAGUGAUCUCCAUAGGUUAAGGCUCCUUCAAACAAAGUUCAGAUUUACUAAAUUAACAAAGCACUACUCUUCUUAGUGAAAAAUCAUCACCCAAUCUAGAGACUAAUUUUUUUAAAAAAGUUUUCCUUCUACGCUUGUCUUUAGAUCAUUUAAAAAAGUGAAAACUAAUCAAAUCAGUUAUCUCAAGGAAUCAACACGCUUCUUUCCAUCAAAAAUUGUCUUUUAACUUCUCAUCACAAAUUAUCACCUUCUCGUUUUGACGACCCUACAAAGGUAACAUAUGGCUAAGUAUCAACCCAACUAUAUAUAGAUAGAUGGUAACCCCCAUAAAGAAAGAACAAGUAGAAAUGCACUUCAAACAGUGGAGUACAGUAGAAGAAAGCAUGGCCGCCUUUUUACGUAUCACCCAAUACGAAUUAUAAGUGCAAUGCAGAAUAUACGGUAUUAGUAAUACUUGCAUUAGUAAUGCUUAUAUUAAUUAGUUAUAUUGAUAUUGUUUCUUAUACAUUAUUUAAUUUGACAUGUUAAAAAUAAUAUAUCUUAUAUAAUUUAUAUAAAAGAAAUAUUUAUUUAUAAAACUAUCCUUCUUUGAUUUAUUACAUUUUUUUCAACAAAAUUCGUUUGCCAUCUCAAACAUAAUUAGUGUUGUUGAACUAGUAUAUAGAGGUUUAGGAUUAAUUGCAAGACCGUCGUCUUUACGCAUGAAAUGUUAUGCAGGCGGAUUAACAUAAUCGAAACAAAAAUAAAAUACAAGAUAUAGAAUAAAGGAAUAGUCUCAAUUUUUUUAUUUAAUUUUUUUAAAGACCCUCGAAGCAAAGCAAAGAUGCAGUUAUUUAAACCAACAAUUCAUUAUUGGAAAUUAAAAUGGUGGAAAAAGAUAUUUUAAUAUGUUUUGAAAAGAUUUACUGUUGCAAAUUAAAAUGGUGAAAAAAAAAUUGUGAAAUAUUUUGAGAGAAAAAUUGGAUAUAUUAAGGUCAUUUAAUAGGUUAAUGCAUGUCUUUAAAGUUUUUGUAUUACUAAUACAUAGGAAAUGGUGUGUAUUACUAAUACACAUCUCAAUAUACAAUAGAAUAUAUAUCUAAUGUUUGUAUUAGUUAUAUAUAGGCAAAAAGAUGUACCAAACAAGGUACUAGUAACACACAUUAACUAAUGCAUGCAUUAUAUUUUCCAAUAUGCUCUACCGAACGAUCCUGGUACAAAGAGAAGUUAUCCAUGAUUAACAAUACUGGAAUUAGCAAUGUAAAAAUUGCAGUGCUGAAAUUAUUUUUCAUCAAGUAUUUGAUUCAUUAUAUUAAAAAUUAGAUAUAUCAUGUAUUGUAUUUGAAUUUAAAGUUGUACAAAAUCUUCUUCAGAUUUAUAUCCUUAAAUUUCUGUAGAAUUUUUUUACUUUAUUUAACUAAUGGAAAAUGGUCAAAAGCCCUCCCCCAAACCUUUACCCCAAAUCCCAACUACGCACUCAACUUUUAAAUGUGACCUAUUACCCCCGGAACUAUUUUAAAGUAGAAUUAUUAUCCCCUGAAUUAUUUUAAAGUGAAAUUAUUACCCCCCUCCCUCCCCCUUCCCCAAAAACCCCCCUCCCCUCCCGAAAAUUGACAACCAGUCAUUUGAAAUGUGGUGUGAUACACGCGCUGCCACGUCAUUUUUUUAUUUACUCUAAAAAAGUUAAUUAUUUAACUUUAUUAUUUUUUUUCUUCCCCAUUUUUCAUUUUGCUCCAUUUUCUUCUUCAAUCAAUUUCAUCUUCUUGGGUCAAAUAUAGAAUUCUUGGGAAAAAAAAUGACGGAUUAAUGAAGUUCUUGAAUGACGGGUUAAUGAAGUUCUUGAAUGGGGUUUUAAUGAAGUUCUUGAACCUAAUUUCAUCUCUUUUUGCUCAAGAUCACCAUUAGUGGCGAAUUCUUCCCCAUUGUGGAAAUUCAAAGCUUUGAACUCGCCAUUAAUGAUGGAUCUUGAGUAAAAAUAGAGAAAAUCGAAAAAAUGGGUUGAACAUUAUACGUGGGUUAUGUUGGAAAUUAUGUAUGGCAUUGUGGAAAUUCGAAGCUUUGAGCUUGCCAUUAAUGGUGAUCUUGAGCAAAAAGAGAGGAAAUCGAAGUUGAAUUUUUUCAAGUUUUUUGAAUCGGAGUUCCCCAACUUCUUCAUUCAAGAAUUCAUUAAUCGGAGAAAUCUUAUUGUUUCCUUAGUUCAAGUGUUUCUUGGUUUCGAUUUCAGAGCAAAGAGAAUUUCUUGAUUUCGGAGAAAUCCAUUAAUGAGGAAGAUGAGAAACCCCAUUAAUGAGUUCUUAAAUUUUUGUUUUAAAAAAGAAAAGAAGAAGACAUGACGUGUCAAUUAAAAUUCAUUAAGAAAAAGUAAUAAUUAAAAUAUUUAUUAUAUUAUUAAAAAUAAUGACGUGACAAUAAAAAAUAAAGAAUUUAAAGUGAAAUGGGGUCAACUGACGCGCCCAUGGGCGAGUGUAGUCACGUCCAAUGACAGGUCAGCAAUUGGUGGUAAUAAAUUCGAUAAAAAUAAUUUUAGGGGGAUAAUAGGUCACUUUUAAAGGUUGAGUGCGUAGUUAAGAUUUCGACUAAAGGUUGGACGGUAAUAGACCAUUUUCUCUUUAACUAAUCAAAUUACUCACUUUUUAUGCGAUCUUAUAAAAAAGUUAAAAUAUAAAUAAUAAUUCUUACUCCGCUUAAUUAAUUAUUUACUUAUUUUUUAAAAAAUUGGGCCUAGUUGAUUUAAAAAAAAUUUAAACAGUAAAAAUAUAUUGUAUAAGAACAACAUGGAUUAUUGAUAAUGUAGUUUCAUAAUUUUAAAUUAUAUAUUUAUUGACAAUAAUCUACUCGUUUUAAAUCAGUCAGUCUAUAAAUUGAAUAAUUACAAAUAGAAUAAAUGUUAGCUUACGUUUGAAGCUAUCAAUCAACAUGAGAGAGAAAAUGACAUUUAGGUGCAAAUUAAAUAUGGUAUAACCAUUAAAUUUGAGGUUAGAUUUAAUAUGAAAAUAAAAGAAAGCUUUUAUUAAAAAAGUAGUUAAAUUAUUUAAUUCUCUUAUUUAUAUAUUAUUAAACAACGUAUAAAUAAUUUUAUGAUUUUUAAAGUAUAGAUAAUCUACUCUAUAGUGUAUAAGUGUGUAUAAGUUAUUCAUGUAUUAGCUGAAAUUAAAUUUAACUAGAACAAUCAAAUAUUAUAUUAGCUGAAAUUAAAUUUGAAUAGAACAAUCAAAUAUUAUAUUGAGAAAAUAGUCUAUUACCUCCAACCUUUAGUCGAAAUCCCAAUUACAUACUCAACCUUUUAAAGAUACCUAUUAUCCCCUUAAUCUAUUUUUUUUUCUAUAUUUAUUACUCCCUGACCUGUCAACAUAAACCAAGUAAUAAGACAUUCAUGCAUUUCAUGCGCCUGGCCCACACCUAAACAUAACAAAAUAUCUUUUUUCACAAUUUCAUUUUCAAUUUCCUCUCUCCUCUCUCUUCUCUCUAAACCUUUCAUCUUCCUCUCUCCUCUAUCUUCUCUCUAAACUGCGAUUUCAUCUAUUUUUUUGGGGGAAUUUUUGUUAUAAUUGAGAUAUUUUGGGUGUGAAUUUUCAAAGAAUCAUCUUGUUGCUGUUACAAGGUGUUUUUUUUUUCCGUAAACUGAAAAAAAUUGAAUUAGAAUUUUUAGCUAAUCUCCAAAUUUACAAAUUAAUUGAGUGAAAUUAACUGAUUCUUACUGUUAUGGCGUUGUCUCAGUGUUCGAUUAACAACAUAAUUCGUUCGUAAGUACAUGUUUUGUUGAUUGUUUAAGUGAGUUUAUUAGAAAUUAGCGCUUUUCUUCGAUUUGUUGUUAAUGUGAAAACUUAAAAAUUCAAUUGUGUUUAAUAGGAAGUGCGUGUUAAUAUGUUGUUAAUUUGAGUGAUUUUUUCCAAAAUUGAGUUAAAAUUAAAUAGAGUUUUAUGCUAAUUCCCAAAAUUUAAAAUUAAUUGAGUGACAUUAAGCUGUGGUUUUUGCUAUUAUAUUGUCUACGUGUUUGAUUAACAACAUAUUACGUUUCUAAUUACAUCAAAUUAGAAUUUUUGUUGAUUGUUUAAGUUGGUUUAUUAGAAAUUAGAGCUUUUGUCCGAUUUGUUGUUAAAAUGAUAAAAUUUCUCAAAAUCAAUUGCGUUUAAUAGCAUGUGUAUGUUAAUGUCCGAAACUAUGACUCAGAUAACUCAGCAGUGUGUAGAGCUAUGUCGAUCUGAAGAUAAUAAAAUUUCAGAGCUAAAAAAAGACGUUGGUAAACUCCAUAAAACCCAUAACGUUUAUUAUUAUUUUGGUUUUUAAUUUUGUAGCAUGUUCAUGAUUUUUUUUUCUUUUUCCAUAAUGUUUCUACUAUGCUACUAUGUCUUGUUUGAUUCUUUAUUGUGAUCAGGUAAGACAUGAAUGAUUUUACGUUGAUAACUCUAAGAUAGUACCAUGGUGAGGUCUUACAUUUUAGUAGGGGAAAACCAGUUUAUAAGGGGGGGUUAGUAACAGAAUUUUUGAAUGUUGACGUAGAUAAGAUGUCAUAUUUUGAGUUGAAAGACUAUAUUAAAAAUUGGGACAUAGCAUAACUUGCACUUUUAGUAUUAAAGCAUUUAACUAUGGCAUUUUGGUAGAUGUUGAUAAUGAUAUGGAUAUUUUUGAGAUGAUGUGUUCCUUGCAAGAUGGGGAUGAAGUAGAGGUAUUUGUCAACCAUUUGUUGAUGAGCCAGAUGUAGUGGCCCCCCCUCCCCCAAACCUUUAUUUUUAGAAAAUGUCUGUCCUAGAAAUUUAGAGGAAUCUGGUGCAUCUUUUAAUACUAAGCCUAACUUUAGGGUAAGUGGGGACCAUUUAAAUGUGGAGGACCCUACUUCUUUUUUUCCAACCACACCUCCUUUCAAUACCACACCUCUUUUCACUACUGCAUUAAGUGUUGCUGUAACAACUAAUGCUGCAGUAGAUGAUAUAGAUGUUGGUCUUGCUGGAUUUGAUUUUUUAGAAGAAGAAGUAGAGGCUUCUGAUUAUUCUACUGAGAAUAAUGUUGAGUCAGAAGGAGAAUUAGUUGGAGAUGAUGAUGAAGAGGAGUAUGGUAAUGAUGUACCUGAGGAGGUUAGGGAGUUGAGAGUUGAAAAGAGAAAGUUUCAAAGGAGAAAAAGAAAUGAGAGAGUACCAACUGACAAUGCAGAGGUACCAGUAGGUGAAGUAGUACCAGAUCUAGGUUUUGAUGAAACUGAAACCGGUAGAGUAAGUUAUGAAGGAAGGCUUGGAGGUGAUGAGCCUUACUUUGCAAGUUCUGAUGAGGAUAGUUUUGUAUUAGAUGAAGAUGAUUGUUGUGAUGAUGAUGAACAUGAAAUGGUUCAUUCUGGUAGAGCAAGAACUAUGAAGUUGUCAAAAAAGAGGACAACAAAUCAAAAAAUCAUUCAUGACCCAACUGCAAAGGAAGUUGUUUGCCAGUUACGUAUGGUGUUUAAAGAUAUGAGUGAAUUUAGAAAAGCAGUGACUAAAUAUGUAAUAAGAAAAAGGGUUCUUGUAGAGAAGUGGGUUAAUGAGCCAAAAAAGGUUAGAGUUAGGUGCAAUGAUGGCUGUCCAUGGCUUUUAUUUGCAGGUCUUGACAAGACAACAAAUGAUUUCAUGAUAAAAAACUUAUAUUCCAAAGCAUACUUGCAAUAAGACAACCAGAAAUUACUUGUGCAAUGCAAAGUUCUUAGCUGAAAUCUUUAGAGAAAGAAUAGUUGAGCAACCCAACAUAAGAGUAUUCAAGUUGCAAAAGUUGAUUAGAAAAAAGUUCAAACUUUAUGUUGGUAAGAUCACUGUGAGAAAAGCAAGGUCUAAAGUCUUAAAGGAGAUAAUGGGUGAUCAUGUUGUAGAAUUUGGAAGAAUCCUUGACUACAAAGAUGAACUGUUGAGGAUAAAUCCGGGGACCAGUUGCGUUGUCAAACUUGGUGAGGCUGAUGAAGCAGGUAAACCAAAAUUUCAGACUUUUUACAUAUGCUUUGAUGUUUUGAAGAAGGCAUGGGUACAUUGUAGGAAGUGCAUAGAUUUAUAUGGUUGUUUUCGUAAGGGUAUUUGUAAAAGCCAAUUGUUAGUUGUUGUUGCCAAGGAUGGAAAUAACUAGAUGCUGCCACUUGCUUGGGCAAUAGUUGAAAAACAGAAUACAAACACCUGGACAUGGUUUAUUAGGUGCAUUAGGGAUGACCUAAGACUUGAAGAAGGUGAAAGUCUCACCCUGAUUACAGAUAUGCAGAAGGUAUGUACAGUAUUUUAUGUUUAACCUCAUUUCUUUUUAAUUUAACUUAGUACAUGUAAUUAUGCCCUAACUUCACCCUUUUUUUGUUAUGUAUGUUUACUGAAAGGACUGUUUGUAGCAAUUGAGGAGGUGUUACCUCAAUCUGAACAUAAAAGAUGUGCAAGACACAUCUUAGCUAAUUGGGCUAAGGAUUGGAGAGGUCUUCAAAGAAGACAACAAUUUUGAAAGAUAGCAAAAAGUACAUUUGAGUCUCAAAUGAGGAAGAACAUACAGAAGAUGAAGUUGCUUGGUCCUGGAAAAAUGAUGUAAGACUUAAUGUACUGCAAUAUUAAUUACUGGUGCAAGCUUUACUUCAACACAGAAGUAAAGUUUGAUUCAGUGGAUAACAACAUGAGUAAGUGUUUUAAUGCAUCGAUCUUGGCAGUUAGCAGAAGACCAUCAUUUUCCUGCUUGAAGAAAUAAGAGUGAAGAUGAUGACAAGAAUAGGCACUCUAAGGGAGUUUCCAAAUACCUGGUGUAGUAGUUACUCACCAAGGUGUUUGAAGAUUUUAGAGGAGAACAUCAACAGGGCUCUGGAUUGUACCAUUAAGUUUAAUGGAGUGACUGGUUUUGAAGUGAAAGAAGGGCUUUGUCAACACACAGUGGAUAUUAUCAAGAGGACAUAUAGGUAUAGGUUGUGGCAGUUAAAGGGCAUACCAUGUGCACAUGGUGUGGCUGCACUAUUGUUCAAGAAACAUCCCUUGUAUGACUAUAUUGACAGCUGCUACAGUAAGGAAACAUACUUGAGGACUUAUGCAAAUGUUCUUAAACUAUUAACAAACAUGAAAAUGUGGCCUGUUUCAUCAAACAUUACUGUUGCACCACCUGAAAUUAGUACCUUGCCUAGCAGGCCAUCUAAGUCUAGGAAGAAGGAAGCUGGAGAAACAAAAAAAUCUGCAAAAUUGCCUAGAACUGGACUUGCAAUGACAUGUAGGUUGUGUCAUGUAGGUUGUGUCAUGUUAGAGGCCACAACAAAAGAAGGUUCCCUCUAAGAGGACAAUCAGCAGAACCAAGUGUUGCACUAUCAGUAACACCUACUGGUUCAGGCAUUGGAAGAGGCAGACCAAAGGUAAGUUUAACACUUAAUUUAGUAUAUUACUUAUCUUACUUCUAAAAUUUCUUAACAUUAUUUUAAUAUGUAGAAAACUACACCAAAAACACCAAAUGCACCUCCUCAAGUCAGUGUUGGUUCAGGCAGGGGAAGAGGCAGACCAAAGGUAAUUUUACACUUGUACUAAUUAGCUCAAUAACUUUUAUAUAACUCUCUUCUUUUUAUAUGUAUAGAAAACUCCAUCAGAAAUCAUUAAUGCAUGUCAACAACAAAAAAAAGAAGAAGAAGGAGACCAAAAAAGGCAACACUAGCAGCACCUAGUGCAUCUCCUCUACCUAAAACACCUUCUGCGCCUACUAUUUUUCCAGCAUCCUGUUCUGCACCUUCUGAUUAUUGUGCAUCAUCUUUAAUGGCUGGUAUUACUAAAAGGGGAAGGGGUAAUGAUAAGGAAAAAACACCUCCAUUGAAAAGGUCAAAAGUAAUGGGAAUGGGUGUGUUCCAAGAUGAAAAUGGAUUCAAAGUCCUAAAUGUAAGUAUCUAGCUUUGUUGUAUCUUGUGUACAUAUGAGUCUUUAAUGUAUAAGUUUUUGAAUAAUUUUUAUCCUUCACUGUAGCCUGGCAUGCCUAGCAGUAAGAUCUGCUCUAUUGGUCAUGCAAGGGUAACAAGAUCAGCUGAUAUAACUGGUAACAUUGGUUAUACACCAAGUACUACUAAUAAGCUGAAAUUGAAUGGCAAAGUAGCAAUAUGAACGAAAAAACUACAAGAUAUUAAAGAGAAGAAAAGAAAGAAGAAUGUGCGAAGCAGUUCAAAUAAUUCAAGUCAAGAAAAUACUUCUUCAAAGUCCAAGAUGCCCUGAAAAUUGUAGUAAUGUUGAUUAUUUUAAGCACUGUUUUAAGUUAGACCAAUUGAAAUGAAAAUAAUUUUAUUUUGGUGCUGAAAAAUAAUUUAAGCACUGUAUAUAUAUUUUGUUGAUGAAUGUUGCCUAAUGGUUGGUAUGAAUGAUGAUGUUGUGCCUAAUGGUUGGUAUGAAUGAUGAUGUUGUGUGAAGUCGAAUAUUUUGUUGAUGAAUGUUGUCAUUAGGUAUUAUUGUUGUGUUAAAUGAUGGUAAAGUUGAUAUAAUGUCAACACAACAUUGUCAUUACACGAUUUAAGUGUAAAAACAUAGCAGCAGCACGGUGCUUUGUCUAACAAGACACAACUUUGAAAGUGUAAACAAUAACAUAGCAACAACAAAAGACACAAUAAGUGUAAACAAUAACAUAACAGUAAUACACAACACAAUUUUGUAAAUGUAAACAACAACGUAGCAGGAGCACAACACAAUUUUAAAAGUGAAAACAAUAACAUAGCAGCAACACAAAUGCAAACAAUAACAUAGCAGCAGCAACACAAGUGCAAACAAUAAUAUAGCAGCAACACAACAAACAUCUGAAGUACGACUAAGCAAAAGACACCAUAACAGAACAUAAUCUGAUAUAUUUAGAGAGAGAUAUACAAAAUUUACACCAUAGUAGACAAGAUCUAGCAACUAGUUUUAGUUCAUUUGUUGCUGAUGAACAUAGCAACAACACAAAUCAAAAUAAAUUAAAAUAUCUUCCUAUUGAACCUACACCAUCUCCAUUUUCUAUUAAGCUUUUUCUCCCGCGUCAAGUUAUCAAUUUGGACUUGUUUAAGCCAUACGUCUUCUUCCAACUCAUUGAUUUUUUUCACCAAUCUUGGAAAUAUAAAAUUUGAUCUUGAAUCCACUUUUUCUUUGUCCCUUUGUAGGAAAAAAUUAUAUUUUUGAGACUAAAAUUUUUUUUAGAAAUCAGUACAUUAUCAUAAUUUGAAUAUAAAUUGACGGCAAAAUACAAUGCAAAAUACAUAUACCAUAGUAGAGGCAAGACCAAAAUCUUCUUCCCGGAUUUAACUUCGACCAUGAAGUUUGCAAGUUAAGAAAAAUACCAUGUUUGCAUCUCACAACAACAUUGACCAUUGGAUCUGAUUCAUCUACACAAAGUUUAUUCAAUUUCGAAUUUGUCAUUUCAUGAAUUUCGACAAAAUUAAUGAUAAAAUUACAAACCCUAAAUUAAUAGUUGAACCAAACUACAAAACAAAACUUCACGAAUUGAAGUACAAAUUGGGAUUAAAAAUUAAAACGUACGUUAAAGAAAUAGAAAAAAAAUGGAGAAACAUGAAGGAAAAUGAUGGACAAGAACAAGGGUCUUAUAAAGAAGAAGAUGACCGUUGGAAGAGAGAGUAUUUUUUCAUCUUUAUUUCAUCAAAUAAUCAAUUAAUGAUGUGUAUAUUAUGUGGAAGGUUAAAAUUUUAAUUUUAGAUGUGCUGGGGCUAAACCAACGCGUCUAGAGGGAGUGUUCUCACCUUCCUUGUCAGGUCAACAUUUGGGGUAAUAAAUAUAGAAAACAGGUCAGCAUUUGAGGUAAUAAAUAUAGGAAAAAAUAAAUUAGAGGGUAAUAGGUCAUCUUUUGAAAAUUAAGUGUGUAGUUAAAUUUUGACUAAAGGUUGAUAUUAGCUGAACAAAAUUUUAACCAUAAACAAUAGUCCUAAAUAGAACAGGAUUCAUUCACACGACAACUUGCUUCUUGUAUUGAAGAAUUAGAAGAGGGGUUCUUAAGGAUCAUUCCUUACAAAUAAUUCUAAGAGAAAGAAAAGAGACGCAACUACUUUAAAUAAAUGAUAAAAGGAAAUUAUUUAUUAAUCAAACUCAUAACAUUUUCUUGAUUACAAUUGUAAGACGAAGACCCACAACCUUAGACAAAUUACAGACACACAUCAUUCAGAUUGAAACAAACAUUAUUGACUGACAAAGGGAGUUCGACAAACAACAGUUGAUUUGCAAUUCUUCUUCAACCAAAGAUGUCAAUCGCCUUCACCUCAUGUUUCUUCUCCUCUUCCUUCGGAACAGUCACAGUGAGCACUCUGUUCUCCAUAGCUGCCUUAAUUUCCCCUAUUUUCGUAUUCUCCGGCAGCCUAAAUCUCCUCAAAAACUUGCCGUUGCUCCUCUCCAUACCGUGCCACUGAUCAUUCUUCUCCUCUUGCUCUCUGCUUCUCUCACCACUUAUCUGUAAUAUCCUUCCUUCUGCAACUUCGACUUUCACUUUUUCUUUCUUGAUCCCCGGAACAUCUGCUUUGAAGAUAUAAGCUUCUGGAGUUUUCUUCGAAUCAAUUCUUGCAUUUACGAAAGUAGAAGUUUCACGAGAAGAGGAGGGGGUGUUGGUGAUUGUGCUUGAAAUUGGGAAGCCUUCGAACGGAUCCCAUAGGUCGAGGGAGAAUGGGUCAAAGAUGUUGCUCCUGCGACCACCGAAGAAGCUUGGAAUCAGAGACAUUUUCUGGGGACUUUGUUGUUUGAAGAAGACAAAAGAUGUACUGUUACAGAGCUUGAAUUUUUCUUUGAUUGUAGCGUUUGAUAAUUUGUUGUUGAUGAAUGAGAGGAGAUGCCGUGAUAUUUAUAGGCGAUGAACCAUGAAACUUAAGUAAUUGGAGUGUAAUCUAGGAUGUUCUCAGAGUAUUCGACGAUAUUCUUCAAUAAGCUAUCCAAUUCGAGGCUAAUCUUCGAUGUUCUUCGGUUUAACUUUCAUUAAUAGAAGAAAUAAGAAGCUUCUACAGUAUUCGAGGGAAUUUUUCUAAAAGGGUCAUGCACAUUAUUGUUCGUCAAGUCAUAAUUUCAAGGGUAAGGUAUAAUGGGUAAAUAAUUUUGAAAUAAAAUGAAGAGUAAAUACAUAAUAAUUACCCACUGAUGUUGGUCGAGAUUUUUAAAAAGACACUUAAACUUUGAAUUCGACCCAUUAUCCUAUGAUUCUUACUUAAUUUAUUGCAAACACACUAUUUUUCGCUGAAUUUUAGUCACAACAAGGAGAGUGAAAUACAUGCGUCAAUCAGAUGCCACCACAUGUCAAAUAUGUUUAAUUUAUAUUUUUAUUAUUAUUUUAAUAAAAUUUUAUUUUUUAUUUAAUUUAAUACCCCACCCCAAAAUCAAUUCAAAAAAUAAUUUUAUAAUUAAAUUGAGAGUUUUAUGAUUGAAUUUAGUUUUAAAGAUAGUUAAAUGAUAUGAUUUAACUGAAAAAUUGAGCUUUAAUGAUAUGAUUUUAAUAAAAAAAAAGCUUCAAUGGAGGAACUUUAAUGAUGAUAUUGUGUUGAAGAGCUUUAAUGGUGUUGAAGAAGAUAUUAUGUUGAAGAAGAAAUGGUGGAUAGUUAAAUGAUAUGAUUUAAUUGUAAAAUGGAGCUUUAAUGAAUGAUUUAAAAAAAUUAUGAAAAGUUUCAAUGGAAGCUUUAAUGGUGAGUUGAGUUAAAGAAGAAAGAGUGGGUGGUUGGAGGGCGGAGAGGGGGUAGGGAUAAUUUUUAAAAAUAAAUAAAUAUUAUUUUUUUUUAAAAAAUAUAAAUUAUAUAUUAAAUUAUUUUACACAUGACAGCUUUUAAUUGGUCAAAAAUGUCAAAUUCAAGCCAUUUCACGCGCCUGUGGUGCAUGUAUACACGUAGAGGGUCAAAAUGGUGUGUUUGCAACGAAAUAAAGAAGAAUCAUGGGGUAAUUAAUCGAAGUUAAAGUUUAGGUAUCUUUUUGUAAAUCUCGGACAAGAGAAGGAGGUAAUUAUGUAUUUACUCUAAAAUGAAAGAUUAAUACAUCCUUGACUACAUAUCUACAUGUUUCAUUAUUUACAUAUUGAAAAUGAUGGUGUUUGUAACUUUUCACAACAUCAUUUAGCAAAAAGUACCUGCACAGUACCAAAUGAUUAAUAUUUGUCUCAUAAAGAGGAAAGAAAAAGCAAGGGCAUAUUGAUAGAUGAGAUUUCCGACAAAUAAGAAACCAAAUCAUUACUAUCACAUGAACCUUAAGUUGUUGCAAUUAAGAGUUCGGAACUAAAGUAUGCCAUGCAACUAAAAAAAGAAUCAUUCUAUGUCAUAUAAAAAAAGUAUUAAAAUAGGUUUUGUGCACUUAUUAAGUGCACAAUGCCUUUCUAUUUUAACGGUAAAUCCAUUCACAGUAUCAGAGAAAGUCAAACUUAGUCAUUUUUUAUGAAUUGUGCACUUAUUAAGUGCACAAUUCAUUUUUUUAUGAAUUAUGCACUAAAUAAGUGCACAAUUCUUAUUAAAAUAGAUUGUGCACUUAUUAAGUGCACAAUGUUUUUUAAAUAAACUGUACACUUAUUAAGUGCACAAUGUUUAUUCACUUUUUACGCAUGACAUUUUCAUUUAAUUUGUUUAUUUAUUUAUUUAUUUAUUUAUUUUUUGAUUGUGCACUUUUUUAGUGCACAAUUCAUUUAUUUAUAUUGUUCACUUUUUUGUACAAUCAAUGGAUUGUUGUGAUUUUGGACUUGUUGAAGAAGAUUAACAAACAACAAAAGGAGCUGAAGGCCAAAAGGAUCUUAAAGCUAAUUUUAAGCAUUAGUGUGAUAUGUAAUCUGAUGAUGUUCAUUUACCUUUUGUGCCAUUGAAAGAGAAUUGUCUAUGUAUGAUGUUUUAUUUUGACGAAUAUAAUAGUAUUUCUCUGUUAAAGUACAAAUACUCUUAACACGAAAAUUUUUAUGGUAGAUGAGGUGCGCCAUGUCAUAUUUAUGUGAGGCUUUUCAUUAUUUGACAAGUGCACAUUGUGGGUCCCGUGUAAUUAUUAUCCUUUUCACUUUUUAUUGAAAUGUCAUGCUUUUUUAUUUUUUAAUUUAUUUACACAAAAUCAAAUAACAUGAAUAAAAUAGGGUGAAAAAAUUAUCAUACAAUUUUUUCUUUUUUAUUAAUAUAAAUUAUCUAACUUUAAAGUUUAUCACACAUAAAUUAUUAUUUUUUUUAUUUUUCAUAUAAAAAAUCAUCCAUUUUAAAAUUAUCACAGUAAUCUUUUUUUCUAAUUUUUAAAUGGCAAUGAAAUGAUAUAAUAAAAUUAUUUAUCAUUAUUUUAUUCAAUAAAAUUAUUUAGAUUAAUAGAUUUAUCUCACGAAGUAACAAUAGAAUUAAAACCCACACUUAGAAAAUAGGAUAGUUUGUAAUUAGCAUCCUUAAUAUAUGUGCAUUUUUUUUAAUUACACUUUAUUUUAUUUUUAAUGUCUUGGCCCUUAAAAUCUCAUUAAAUUCCUACAAAAUUAUAAUUAAUCUCAUUUUAAUUGUUACAAAGACAAAAAAAAAAGGAAAAAAUAGAAUUAAGAAGAAAAAAUAAUAAUAGCCUUUCAAUAUUGAUUCAUACCUCCAGUGAAUUUAUCUUGAAUGACUUUCAAGCCGUCUUUGCUUCUUUAAAUAAUCAAAUUUAAUAUUUCAAAAGUAUAUUUAUUGAAAUUAUUUAUUAGUUUAGUUUGGUUUAUAUUAAAAUCAUGUGUUUUAUUUUUGUUUUUUCAUCCGGUGUCCGAUACCCGCAUUGGAGUACGACUAAUGCUGAUUCGCGCCGCGUAGUGUCCCAUUCGGGGGGAAGCGCACCUUACCAAGAAUUUUUUCAUACCUAGGGCUCAAACCCGAGACCUCUGGUUAAAGGAGGAGCAGCCCCAUCCGCUGUAUCACAUCAUUUGGUGGUAUUAAAAUAUGUGGUUGUAUUAUGGUGAAACUGUUUAGUUUGAAAGCUUAUAACAAUUAUUAUUAUUAUUAUUAUUAUUAUUUAUGCUUUUUAUUUUAUUUUAUGUUUUUAAAGGGUAAUUUAUUUUAUUAUUAUUAUUAUUAUUGUAUUUUAAAUAAAUUGCCCUUUUAAAAUAUAAAAUAAAAUAAAAACUAUAUAUGCUUAUAACAAAUUAUCGUAUUCAUACUAUAAUUUUUUUACAUACAAAUACAUAUUUAUAAUAAUAAACAUUUUAAAUGUCAGCCGUAAAAAGUGAAUAGAGAUUGUGCACUUAAUAAGUGCACAAUCUAUUUAAAAAAUGUUGUGCACAAUCUAUUUUAAAAAAAAUUGUGCACUUUAGUGCACAAUUCAUAAAAAAAAAUGAAUUAUGCACUUAAUAAGUGCACAAUCCAUUAAAAAAUGGAUUGUGCACUUAAAAAUUGCACAAUCUAAGCGUGACCUUCUCUGACGCCGCGAAUGGAUUUGCUGUUAAAAUAAAAAGGCAUUGUGCACUUAAUAAGUGCACAAAGCCUAUUUUAGUAUUUUUUUUUAUAUGACAUAAAAUAAUACUUUUUUUAGUUGUAGGACAUAUUUGGUUUCGGACUCUGCACUUAACUAUAUUUCAUUCUUUUAUAUCAAAUACCUUCGUAGUAUUUAUUGGAAGAGUUCGUUGUGAUGGGAAAAAUACUUUCAUAGUAAGAAAAUCUAGAAAGUACAAACAUGUACUCAAACUAACUUAAAUAAAGUAGAAACAAUUAGAUUAGCUAAAUUAGAAUAUCAUGUAAUGUUGAAAACAUACUGAAAGACAUUCGAGAAGCUAACAUCGACAAGGAAUUAAGCCACUUUUACGUCCAAAACUCUCAUGUUCUCGAUCUUUCUAUUGCAGAAAAUCAACCUGAAAAAUUUAAAAGUAAAUUAUUAUUAUUAUUAUUAUUAUUAUUUAUUAUUAUUAUUAUUAUUAUUAUUAUUAUUAUUAUUAUUAUUUCAUUUCUAAUUCUUUAUUCCAUUUUUGAGAAGAGAAAAACUAAAUUAUAAAGUUGAAGGUUGUUGCCCUUCAAAUUAAAUAAUCUAUAGCCAAUAUAAUCUGGAAAACCUCUAUUUAGAAAGGGAAAAAAAUGAACAUUGAUAUACAUUUAAUAAAGCAAUGGAAAGUUGGACAUUAACCUCCUAGAAAUACUCACUGCAUCUUUUAAAAACCUUAAAUCAGAAACUAUCAAAUCUUUGUUUUUAUUAACAACAGGGACUUCCCCCAAUUCUUGUAGAAAACUUGAGACACAUAAAAUGUGAUUCUAAUGCUUAUUCAUCUCUUGAUUUUUCCAUCAUUAUUUAAAUAUCUACAACAAUAAUAUACUGGUAUAAUUUUAUUGGUGGGGUUUAGGGAGAGUAAAGUGUACACAGAUCUUACCCCUAUAAUUCGUAAAGAUAAGAGAAGUUGUUUCUGAUAGACCCUCAGCUGAAGUGAAGUAUCUCAAAGCAAUUUGAAAAGGGAAAUAUGGAAAUAGAAAUAGUAACAUCAACACUAUAUAUGAAUGCAUGGAGCGGAAUUUACCUUACUGUUUGCCUUUGCAUACGCAAUCAGCUGCUAAGUGUCUGACUCAAGAAUGCCAUCAACUAUAGUAGCCACGCCUCUAAUGAUUGCUUGUUUAAGAGCAGAUAUGGAGGAUGCAACAACAUUGCAUUGAGUUAAGAAAUUAACGAUCAGACAGAUUGUCUUUCAAGAGAUGACGGAGGGCUUGUCACACUACCAACCUUCUGAAAGAUACAAAGCUUAUAAAUACAUCAGUAGUGGGAUGUGCAACACAGCCAGCUUCAACUCUGUAUAACAGGACGGACAACAUUAGUUCAUAUAUCGUUUUGGACACACAACCAAUUGACAUACAUGGACAAAUUGAUUUAUAAUUAAGCCCUAUGUGCUAUAAUGUUGAGUCAAGAUGCUCCGCCUUUUCUAUAGAAGCAGUCAACUGAGUUCUAAACGAAUUAGCUUCUGGCCAUAUUACGCCUGUUGGGUUCAAUAUGUAUGGAAGAAGUGUGAAUAGAAAAUGGAGAGAAAAAGGAUGGAGGGAAGGAAACACUAAUUUAGAAAGUGUACUCUCAAAUUGAAAAGUUCACUAAAUCUCCCACAUUGGUGGGAGAAGAGAACUUUGGAGUAUUUUUAAUAAAGAAUACUUACUCUACAUAGAUAGUGAGGCAAGAACAAGGUGGUGCUUCGUGUUGUUGUCGUCGCUCGGCUCGACUUUGAAUUUGGAUUGAUGGAAUCUAUUAUUUUGGACAAAAUUUAUUUGAUCAAAAUCUGAUCCGAAUAUUCUAAAGGAAAAAUGACAGAAAUGCAGAAAAUUUUUUUGUGUUUUAUCCUCCAUUUAUAUGCAUGUAUACAGUGAACUGAUGCAUUAUUUCGAACUGAACUGAUGCAAUGUUAUGAACUGAUGCUUCAAAAAGAUGCAACCAUUCAGUAAAAAUGAUACACUGAUUCAUGGAAAGGUAUGCUUGUUCGGAAAAGAUACACUGUUUGGACGAAUAGACAUGAUUUUUCAGGAAAGGUUACACCUUUUUAAAUAAACCAUUGCCACUUUUCAGAAGAGGCCAGUUAUGACUAUAUAAACCUGCUUUCAUCCAUAGGUUUAGACAUGAAAAUUUUUUUGAAACAAAAACUCUUCUUGUUUUCAAAUAUUUUGUGUGAUCAAUCAAACUGUUGAGUGAGUUCGUAGAAUCCGUCAAUUUGAGGUACCGUUAUUGUUCGGAUUGAAGUCCAUUUUAUCCUGGGAGGAAGAUUCCAUAACCUCGGGUACAGUGAGGAGAAUUAUUCCAUAAGGACAUUCCAUGAAGUCGGGGGACUUGAUCUAAAUUUCUGUUUCAUCUUUUUCUGAAUAUUAACACACUUCUAAGAUAGAUUAUUCAUAAUCUAGUGUUGAAGGUGUGAAGAAACUUCAUAAGUUCUUGUCUUGAACUUGAACUUUCUUUGAAGUUUCUGUUGCUUAUAUAUAGAUUCUUGUACCCGAAUACAUACAAAAUAACAAUCUUAAGGAAUAAUUCAGAAUCUGUAUUACUUGUUUUUGAAGAUUAAAUCUUUAAACUUUCUACUCCGUUUGAAUUUAACUAGUGAUUAGAAGACAUAAAAUCUUUAUCACAAGUUUAAAAUUCACUCGGUUGACAAUUGGAAGUCAUUAAAACUUCAUUGUUAACUAGAAACAAGAAGAAGAGUUUAAGUUUCUUAACUUUAUAAGUAGUAUUCUGAAAAUACUAAAUAUUAUUGUCUUGUGGUGACAGGAAAAAUAACUAAUGAAAGCCAAAUGCAAGAUGCGGCUACGACUGUGGGGGCAACUAGCAUUGCUUCAACAAGUCGAGCAAAUGCUCCGCAACCAAUGGCACCUGCGGAGAAGCCUGGAAAAUUUACGGGCGUUGACUUUAAGCGAUGGCAGCAAAAAAUGUUCUUUUACCUCACCACUCUAUGCCUUUAAAGGUUCACUAGUGAAGAUGCUCCUGAGGUGCUCGAGGGAACCUCGGACAAAGAGCAUUUCAUGAUUGUAGAAGCUUGAAAAUACUCAGACUUUCUUUGUAGGAAUUAUAUAUUAAGUGGUCUCCAAGACGACCUCUACAAUGUUUACAGUGGAACUAAGACACCGAAGAAAUUGUGGGGGGCACUAGAUCGAAAAUACAAGACAUAGGAUGCGGAAAUUAAGAAAUUCUUUGUUGCAAGGUUCUUGGACUUUAAAAUGAUAUAGAGCAAAUCGGUUGUCUCUCAAGUGCAGGAAUUGCAAGUAAUCAUCCAUGAUCUUCUAGCGGAAGGUUUGAUUGUGAAUGAUGCUUUCCAAGUAGGAUCGAUAAUUGAGAAGCUACCACCAAUGUGGAAGACUUCAAAAACUGCUUGAAGCAUAAAAGCAAGGAGAUGACUGUUGAAGAUCUUAUUAACCGACUGCGUAUUGAAGAGGAUAAUAAAGCUACCGAGAGAAGGUCAAAAGGGAAUUCUGCAAUUAAUGGAGCACAUAUUAUGGAAGAUGACCAAAAUAAUUCUGAGAAAAGGAAGAAAGUUGAACAAGGAAGCAAUCAACCGAAGAAGAAAUUCAAGGAAAAAUGCUUCAAUUGUGGCAAGAUUGGCCAUAAGUCCACGGAUUGUCGAACCCCAAAGAAAGGCAAGAAAAAGGAUCAAGCAAAUAUGAUUGAAUCCAACAAAGAAUGCGAUGAUCUGUGUGCUAUGUUUUCAGAAUACAACUUGGUGGGAAAUCCUCGCGAAUGAUGGAUGGAUUCUGGUGCCACCCGCCAUGUAUGUGCAACAAAGAGUUGUUUUCGUCAUUUGUUCUGGCUCAAGUAGAAGAAAUAAUCUACAUGGCUAACUUCGCUACUGCUAAGGUAGAAGGAACAGGAAAAAUGUGCUUGAAAAUGACUUCAGGAAAAGUUUUGACACUUAACAAUGUCUUGUAUGUUUCAGAGUUACGUAGAAAUUUAAUUUCUGUUUCACUUCUAGACAAGAACGGAUUCAAAUGUGUAACCGUUUCUAGUAAAAUUAUAAUUAGCAAAGGAGAAAUGUAUGUAGGAAAAUGCUAUCUCACCGAGGGCCUUUAUAAGAUGAAUGUAAUGAAUGUUGAAAUAAAUAAAAGUUCAAAUUCUUCUUAUUUUCUUGAGUCUUAUGAUUUAUGGCAUGAACAUUUAGGCAAUGUUAAUUAUAAAACGCUACAAAAACUGAUUAACUUAGAAGUUCUGCCGAACUUUGAGUGCAAUAAAUCAAAGUGUCAACAUGUGUGGAAUCAAAGUAUGCAAAACAUCCUUAUAAGUCUGUUGAAAGGAAUUUCAAUCCCUUAGACUUAGUACACACUGACAUUUGAGAUAUGAAGUCAACACCAUCACGUGGUGGAAAAAAGUAUUUCAUAACUUUUUUUGACAAUUGCACUAGAUAUUGUUAUGUCUAUUUGCUAAAUAGUAAGGAUGAAGAAAUGGGUACGUUUAGGAAAUACAAAAUUGAAGUUGAAAAUCAGUUAGAUAAAAAGAUAAAAAUAAUAAGAAGUGAUAGGGGCAGAGAAUAUAAAUCUCCUUUCGCCGAAAUAUGUGUAGAGAAUGGAAUUGUCUAUCAAACUACGGCCCCGUAUUCACCUCAAUCUAAUGGAAUUGCGGAAAGAAAGAAACAAAUUUUGAAGGAAAUGAUGAAUGCCUUGCUUAUAAGUUUUGGUUUACCGUAAAACUUGUGGGAGGAGACUAUCCUUACAGUCAAUCGUAUACUCAAUACAGUUCCCCAUAGUAAGACACAGUCAAUUUCUUAUGAAAAAUGGAAAGGAAGGAAACCCAACUUGAAAUAUUUCAAAGUGUGGGGUUGUCUAGCAAAGGUCCAAGUUUCUAUGCCUAAGAGGGUUAAGAUAGAACCUAAACUGUGGACUGUGUGCUCAUAGGAUAUGCUAAAAGCAGUAAAGCAUGUCGAUUUUUGGUUCAUAAAUCCAAACAUCCGGAUAUAAAUAAAAAUACGGUAAUUGAAUCAGAUAAUGUUGAAUUCUUUGAAAAUAUUUACCUGUAUAAAACUAGACAUGAACAUUCUAGUGGAGGGUCUAAAUAACCUCGAGAUGAACCAAGUGAGAAUAUGCAUAAUGAAGAGAAUCCAAGAUGUAGUACACGUCGAAGAACUUCUACUACGUUUGGAUCAGAUUUUGUAACUUUUCUCUUAGAAAAUGAGCCUCAAACAUUUAAAUAAGCGGUGUCGACAUCAGACUCAUCCUUUUGGAAAGAGGCAGUCAAUAGUAAGAUUAAUUCAAUCUUAAGCAAUCAUACUUGAAAAUUGGUUGAUUUUCCUCCCGAAAAUAAAUAUUUAGGUUCUAAAUAGAUCUUCAAAAGGAAGAUGAAAGCGGAUGGUACUAUUGACAAAUACAAGGCAAAACUUGUAGUAAAAGGCUUCAAACAAAAAGAAGGUCUUGAUUACUUUGAUAUAUACUUGCCAGUAACAAGGAUAAAAUCAAUUCGAAUGUUAAUUGCCUUAGCUGCGGUAUUUGAUCUUGAAAUUCAUCAAAUGGAUGUGAAAAUCGCUUGCCUAAAUGGAGAAUUGGAGGAAGAAAUUUACAUGGAACAACCUGAGGAUUUUAUGGUUCCAGGAAAGGAAAACAAGGUGUGUAAACUUAUUAAGUCAUUGUAUGGACUAAAGCAAGCACCAAAAUAAUGGCAUGCGAAGUUUGACCAAACCAUGUUGGCAAACAGAUUUAAAAUAAAUGAAUGUGAUAAAUGUGUUUAUAUUAAAGACACUCCAAAUCACCAAGUCAUUGUAUGUUUAUAUGUGGAUGAUAUGUUGAUCAUCAGCAGAGACAUUUCUGACAUAAAUGCAGUUAAAUGAAUGCUCGAGAGCAAGUUUGAUAUGAAAGAACUUGGAGUUGCAGAUGUGAUCUUAGGUAUAAGAAUCCAUCGAACUCCAUAAGGGUUGGCAUUGUCACAGUCUUAUUAUAUCAAAAAUAUACUUGACAAGUUCAAGUAUAUGGAAUUCGGUAUUGCCAAGACUCCAUUGGAUGUGAGCUUUGUACUUCGAAAGAAUGAAGGUGAAAGUGACUCACAAUUGGAGUACGCAAGAGUAUUGGGAUGUUUAUUGUAUACAAUGAAUUGUACACGAUCAAACAUAGCAUGCGCUAUUAGUAAAUUGAGUCGGUACACAAGUAAUCCCAACAAAACUCAUUGGAUGGAAAUGAAAAGAGUGUUGGGGUAUCUUAAAUACACUCAAGAUUAUGCCUUGCAUUAUAAUAAAUAUCCUGCGGUACUUGAAGAAUAUAGUGAUGGAAAUUGGAUCACUGGAUCGGAUGAAGUAAAAUCCAUAAGUGGAUAUUUAUUUACUAUCGGAGGAGGAGUAGUCUCUUGGAAAUCAUCCAAACAGACUUGUAUUGCUCGUUCUACAAUGGAAUCUGAAUUUAUCACAUUGGAUAAAGCCGGUGAAGAAGCAAAAUGGCUUCGAAAUUUCUUGGAAGACAUUCCGUAUUAGCCCAAAUCAGUGGCACCAGUAUGUAUACACUGUGAUAGCCAAGCGACAAUAGGUAGUGUAGGGAGUAUGAUGUAUAACGAUAAAUCUCGUCAAAUACGAGGGAGACAUAAUACCGUUAGAGAACUUCUCUCUAGUGGAAUUAUCAUUAUUGACUACGUAAAGUCAAAGGAUAAUGUUUUGGAUUGACUUACGAAAGGUCUAUCUAGAGAAGGAGUGGAAAGGACAUCCAAGGGAAUGGGUUUAAAGCCUAGGACAAGUCAGCAUGGCGGUAACUCUACCUAGCAGACUGGAGAUCCCAAGAGCUAGGUUAAAGGAGAUCAAACAAAGUUGUGUCUGACAGGUUCAACAUUGUCAAUUACCCAACCCAUUCUCAUGAUGUAGACAAUGUUUAGUAAACAAGGAUAAGACUUAAGGUUAAAAGUCUUUUAAUGAUUAUCUAAAUUUGGCAGAUUUGACCAAAUAGUUUAAUCUAUAGGAUUGAACAUUUAGAAAUCACCUAAGUAAGGACGAAGUGGAAGCUGCUUCAAAGAGAAUGUUAGUAAAGGCCCAUUCUCUAAGCUCUCAUGAAACUGGGACGUGUUCAUGGCUGAAAAAAAUAAAACUGUGAGAACCAUAAACGGUAAAAGGCUGGUUAUGUGACACGUGUUGUCUAGGUGUACAUUAAAGCUCGAUGGUUCAAAGAUAUCAAAUUUGCUAAUUGACCGAGUGCAUCCGAUGCAUGUUCACUACGGAAAGGUCAAAGAAAAACCAACUUAUGCAGAUGCAAUCAGUCUUUACUUGAUGAUCACAUACUUGUCCGUAAAAAUUUUAUGAAAAAUAGCCAUUCCUCAUUCAUGUGGGGAAUUGUUGGGUUCAAUAUGUAUGAAAGAAGUGUGAAUGGAAAAUGGAGAGAAAAAUGAUGGAGGGAAGGAGACACUAAUUUAGAAAGUGUACUCCCAAAUUGGAAAGUUCACUAAAUCUGCCAUAUUGGUGGGAGAAGAAAACUUUGGAGUGUUUUUAAUAAUGAAUACUUACUCCACAUGGAUAGUGAGGCAAGAAAAAGGUGGUGCCUCGCGCCGUCGUCGACGUCGCUCGCUCGGCUCGGCUUCAGCUUCGGCCUCAACUUUGGCGUCGGAUUUGGAUUUGGAUUUGGAUGAAAAUGGAGAGAAAAAUGGUGGAGGGAAGGAGACACUAAUUUACAAAGUGUACUCCCAAAUUGAAAAGUUCACUAAAUCUCUCACAUUGGUGGGAGAAGAGAACUUUGGAGUGUUUUUAAUAAUGAAUACUUACUCCACAUGGAUAGUGAGGCAAGAACAAGGUGGUGCCUCGAGCUGUCGUCGUCGCUCGCUCGACUCGACUUCGGCUUCGACUUUGGAUUUGUCAAAUGAUCGAUCAAUGAGAUCUAUCUAAUCUUUUUGGACAAAAUUUAUUUUAUCAAAAUCUGAUCCGAAUAUACCAAAGAAAAAAUGACAGAAACGCAGAAAAUUUUUCUGUGUGAUCAAUCAAACUGUUGAGUGAUUUCGUAGAGUCCAUCAAUUUGAGGUACCGCUAUUGUUCGGAUUGAAGGCCAUUUUAUCCUGGGAGAAAGAUUCCAUAACCUCGGGUACAGUGAGGGGAAUUAUUCCUUAAGAACACUUCGUGAAGUCGGAGGACUUGGUAUAAAUUUUUGUUUCAUCUUUUUCUGAAUAUUAAAACACUUCUAAGAUAGAUUGUUCAUAAUCUAGUGUUGAAGGUGUUAAGAAACUUCAUAAGUUCUUGUCUUGAACUUGAACUUUCUUUGAAGUUUCUGUUGCUUAUAUAUAGAUUCUUGUACCCAAAUACAUACAAAAUAACAAUGCCUACCACUCCCUUCUCUUUACCUGAUACAAGGCAGUCGAAGUACGCACCACCCUGUAGAUAUGAAUGGCGCGAAGGAAAGGUGCAAAUUAUCAUCUGAUGCAUUUGCUAGACAUCAAAAAAGGAAUUAACUUAUACUAUCGUGUAAAAGUUGUUUAUACUAUUAGACGUAAUUUAACCUGUUAUAACAAAUUACCUACUUUAUUUUACAGGUCACUACUUCCAUUUACUAUGUGAAGUUACAUAUUGCUAUCUUUUAGGUGUGUAAUACUAUUAAUGCAUAUGAGUUAAUUAAAGAAAAGGUCAUAUAAGCUAACGAAAUACUUUUUACACUGAUGCAAUUCAAUCGAUUGUAGUAGGUUUCAUCACCGUAAUAUUUAGGUUAUCAUAUUAGACUUGAUACGAAGAGUUACCAAUUAUUGCGAAUUAUGGUGUUCAGACACUUCAAAAAGGUAGUCACACCCGCGUCGGAUCCUCCAAAAUACAUUAUUUUUGGAGGAUUUAAAAAGCACAUUUUGAUGUUUUUAAAGAUUCCAAGCAACAUAAGUUGUAAUUCAAUAGUAUCUAAUGGUCUAAAAAAAGCAUACGUAGUCAGUGCACAAAACUUAAGCUCGGAGAAUAAAAUGACUUACUUCAUUUGCUUGGUUUGGACAAGCUUGCCAGCAGUAGAAAUAUCAGCAUCAAGUUCUUCAUUUUGGUAGAAAAGUUUAGGAUCAUUUACCAUAUCCAAUUUUCUCUUCUUGUAAGCAGCAACACAAACUUGCAAUAACCUAGUAAAAGGGCUACCAGCAGGAUCCAAAUUUCUAUACAAAGGGUAUCCAAAUAUGAACACAACAAUUGAAAUAAGCAUAGCAAUUAUUGGUACAACAAAUCCAAUGCUCCAUCCAAUAUUAUCUUGAAUGUAAACAAUUAUCGUGACAGCAACAAGCAUUGAAAAUCCCAUUGGCCUGAUUUUGCUUCUUUUUCAUUGAAAAUCCCAUUGGCUUGAUUUUGCUUCUUUUUUCAUGAGCUAUUUACUCAUUCUUCUUUUACUCUGAGUUUGAAAUUGUUAUUUUAUGGUGUUUUCGGGUACAAGAAUCUGUAUUUAGGCACAACUUCAACACUAGUUCAAAUUUAAAACAAGAACCCUAUAAAGUACAAAAACACCCUCAACACAAGAUCGAAGUGAUCUUUCUAAGAAGUGUGUUUUAGUUUUUCAGAAAUUAAGAUGAAAUAGAAAUAUAAAGCCAAGUCCCCCGACUUCAUGGAGUGUCCUUAAGAAAUAAUUUUCCUCACUGUAUCCGAGGUUUUGGAAUCUUCCUCCAAGGAUAAAAUGACUUUCAAUCCAACUAUAGUGGUACCUCAAAUAAUUGAAUUUGUCGAACUCACCCAACGAUUUGAUUGAUCACAAAGAAUGUUUUGAAUACAAGAAGAGUUUUUAUUCCAUAAAAUUUUUCAUUCAUUUCUAAACCUGUAGAUGAAAGCAGGUUUAUACAACCAACAAAUACCUUUUCUGAAAGAUAACAAUGGUUUACUUAAAAGGUGUAUCCUUUGGAAGAGUCAUGUUUGUUCAUUUGAAACAUUGUAUCUUUUUCUGAACAGACACAAUUAUCUGAACAGUCACACCUUUUUCAAAAUAAGAUAUCUUUUGCUCAAAGGUUGUGUCCCUCUAUUUUCCAUUCACACCAAUUAAACCAAACAAUCCCCCAUAUGAAUGGGGAAUGACUAUUCUUUGUAAAACUUUACAAAAAAGUAUGUGAUCAUCGAACAAAGAUUGAUUGCGUCUGGAUAAGUGGGUUUUCCUUUGAACUUUUCGUAGUGAACAUGCAUCGGAUGCACUCGGUCAAUAGGUAGAUUUGAUAUCUUUGAGCCGUCGAGCUUUAAUGUACACCUAGACAACACAUGUCACACAGCCUUUUACCAUUUAUGGUUCUCAUGGUUUUGUUUUUUUCAGCCAUGAACACGUCUUGCUUUCAUGAGAUCUUAGAGAAUAGACCUUUACUAACAUUCUCCUUGAAGCGGCUACCACUUUGCCCUCACAUAGGUGAUUUCUAAACGUUCAAUCCUAUAGAUUAAACUAUUUGAACAAAUAUUCCAAAUUUAGAUAAUCAUUAAAAGAAUUUUCACUUUAAGUCUUAUCCUUAUCUACUAAACAUUAUCUACAUCAUGAGAAUGGAUUGGAUAAUUGACAAUGUUGAACCUGUCUGACACAACUUUGUUUGAUCUCAUUGAACUUAGCUCUUGGAAUCUCCAGUUUACUAGGUAGAGUUACCGCCAUGCUGACUUGUCCUAGGACUUAAACCCAUUCCUUUGGAUGUGCUUUCCACUCCUUCUCUAGAUGGGUCUUUUGUAAGUGGAUCCGACACAUUAUCCUUUGACUUUACAUAGUCAACAGUGAUAAUUCCACUAGAGAGAAGUUCCCUAACGGUAUUAUGUCUCCGUCGUAUGUGACAAGAUUUACCGUUGUACAUUAUGAUUCCUGCCCUACCUAUUGCCGCUUGGCUAUCAUAGUGUAUACAUACUAGUGUCACUGGUUUGGGAAAAUAACAAAUAUCUUCCAAGAAAUUCUGGAGCCAUUCUGCUUCUUCAACGGUUUUAUCCAAUGCGAUAAAUUCAGAUUCUAUGUAGAGCGAGUAAUACAAGUCUGUUUGGAUGAGUUCCAAGAGACCGCUCCUCCACCGAUAGUAAAUACAUAUCCACUUGUGGAUUUUACUUCGUUCGAUCCGGUGAUUCAAUUUGCAUCACUAUAUCCUUUGAGUACCGCGGGAUAUUUAUUAUAAUGCAAGGCAUAGUCUUGAGUGUAUUUAAGAUACCCCAAAACUCUUUUCAUUGCCACCCAACGAGUUUUGUUGGGAUUACUCAUUUACCGACUCAAUUUACUAAUAACGCAUGCUAUAUCUGGUUAUGUACAGUUCAUAGUAUACAUUGAACAUCCCAAUAUUCUUGUAUACUCCAAUUGUGAGUCACUUUUACCUUUAUUCUUUCGAAGUGCAAAGCUCACAUCCAAUGGAGUCUUGGCAGUACCGAAUUCCAUAUACUUGAAUUUGUCAAGUACCUUUUAGAUAUAAUGAGACUGUGACAAUGCCAACCCUUGUGGAGUUCUAUGGAUUCUUAUACCUAAGAUCACAUCCGUAACUCCAAGGUCUUUCAUAUCGAACUUGCUCUAGAGCAUUCGUUUCGUUGCAUUUAUGUCAGAAAUGUCUCUACUGAUAAUCAACAUAUCAUCUACAUAUAAACACACAAUGACUUGAUGAUUUGGAGUUUCUUUAAUAUAAACACAUUUAUCACAUUCACUUAUUUUGAACCCGUUUGCCAACAUGGUUUAGUCAAACUUCGCAUGUCAUUGUUUAGGUGCUUGCUUUAGUCCAUACAAUGAAUUAAUAAGUUUACAAACCUUAUUCUCCUUUCCUGGAACCACAAAACCCUCAGGUUGUUUCAUGUAAAUUUGUUCCUCCAAUUCUCCAUUUAGAAAUACGUUUUCACAUCCAUUUGAUGGAUUUCAAGACCAUAUACUGUUGCCAAGGCAAUUAACAUUCGAAUCGAUGUUAUCCUUGUUACUGUCGAGUAUGUAUCAAAGUAAUCAAGACCUUCUUUUUUCUUGAAGCCUUUUACUACAAGUCUUGCCUUGAAUUUGUCAAUAGUACCAUCCGCUUUUAUUUUCCUUUUAAAGAUCCAUUAGAACCUAAAGGUUUAUUUUCUGGAGGAAGAUCAACCAAUUCCCACAUAUGUUUGCUUAAGAUUGAAUCAAUCUCACUAGUGACUAUCUUUUUCUAAAAGGAUGAGUUUGACGACGACAUCACUUCUUUAAAUGUUUGAGACUUAUUUUUUAAGAAAAAUAUUACAAAAUCUGAUCCAAAUGUAGUAGAAGUUCUUUGAUGUGUACUACGUCUUGGAUUCUCUUCAUUAUGUAUAUUCUCACUUGGUUCAUAUCGAGGUCGUUUAGACCCUCCACAAGACUGUUCAUGUCUAGUUUUAUACGGGUAAAUGUUUUCAAAGAAUUCAACAUUAUCUUAUUCAAUUACUGUAUUUUCAUUUAUAUCCUGAUGUUUGAAUUUAUGAACCAAAAACCGACAUGCUUUACUGCUUUUAGCAUAUCCUAUGAAUACGCAGUCCAUAGUCUUAGGUCCUAUCUUAACCCUCUUAGGCAUAGGAGCUUUAACCUUUUCUAGACACCUCUACACGUUGAAAUAUUUCAAGUUGAGUUUUCUUCCUUUCCAUUUUCAUAAGGAAUUGAUUGUGUCUUGCUAUGAAGAACUCUAUUGAGUAUAUGGCUGUAAGGAUAGCCUUCCCCCACAAGUUUUGUGGUAAACCAAAACAUAUAAGCAAGACAUUCAUCAUUUCUUUUAAAGUUUGAUUUUUUCCGCAAUUUUGUUAGAUUGAGGUGAAUACAGGGCCUUAGUUUGAUGGAAAAUUCCAUUCUCUACACAUAUUUUGGCGAAGGGAGAUACAUAUUCUCCGCCCCUAUCACUUCUUAUCAUUUUUAUCUUUUUCUCUAACUGAUUUUCUACUUCAGUUUUGUAUUGCCUAAAUGCAUAUAUUGCUUCAUACUUACUAUUUAGCAAAUAGACAUAACAAUAUCUAGUGCAAUUGUCAAUAAAAGUUAUGAAAUACUUUUUCUCACCACAUGAUGGUGUGACUUCAUAUCACAAAUGUCAGUGUGUACUAAGUCUAAAGGAUUGAAAUUCCUUUCAACGGACUUAUAAGGAUGCUUUGCAUACUUUGAUUCCACACACGUUUGACACUUUGAUUUAUUGCACUCAAAGUUUCGCAAAACUUCUGAGUUAAUCAACUUUUGUAACAUUUUUUAAUUAACAUGACCUAGACGUUCAUACCAUAAAUUAUAAGACUCAAGCAAGUAAGAAGAAUUUGAACUUUUAUUUAUUUCAACAUUCAUUACAUUCAUCUUAUAAAGGCCCUCGGUGAGAUAGUCUUUUCCUACAUACACUUCUCCUUUUCUAAUUACAGUUUUUUCUGAAACGAUUACACAUUUGAAUCCGUUCUUUUCUAGAAGUGAAACAAAAAUUAAGUUCCUAUGUAAUUUCAAAAUGUACAAAACAUUGUUAAUUGUCAACACCUUUUCUGAAGUCAUUUUCAAGCCCACUUUUCCUGUUCCUUCUACCUUAGCCGUAGUGGAGUUAGCCAGGUAGAUUAUUUCUUCCACUUGAGCCAGAGCAAAUGACGAAAAUAACUCUUUGUUGGCACAAACAUGGCGGGUGGUACCAAAAUCCAUCCACCACUUGGGAGGAUUCCCCACCAAGUUGCAUUCUGAAAGCAUAGCACACAGAUUAUCACAUUCUUUGUUGGACUCAAUCAUAUUUGCUUGGUCCUUUUUCUUGCCUUUCUUAGGGGCACGAUAAUUUGUGGACUUAUGGCCAAUCUUGCCACAGUUGAAACACUUUCUCUUGAAUUUCUUCUUGGGUUGAUGGCUUCCUUGUUCAACUUUCUUCCUUUUCUUAGAAUUGUUUUGGUCAUCUUCUACAAUAUGUGCCCCAUUAAUUGUAGAAUUCUCUUUUGACCUUCUCUCGGCAGCCUUGUUAUCCUCUUCAAUACGUAGUCGGACAAUAUGAUCUUCGAUAUCCAUAUUCUUGCGUUUGUGCUUUAAGUAGUUUUUGAAGUCUUUCCAUAUAGGUGGUAGCUUCUUAAUGAUCGUUGCUACUUGAAAUGCAUCAUUCACAAUCAAACCUACAAAACAGUUUAUGUGAGUACUAAGAACAUUUUCAAUUUGUUUAACUAAGGUAUUUUUCAAAGAUAUACCUUCUGCUAGGAGAUCGUGAAUGAUUACUUGCAAUUCCUGCACUUGAGAGACAACCAAUUUGCUAUCUAUCAUUUUAAAGUCUAACAACCUUACAACAAAGAAUUUCUUAAUUCCCGCAUCCUCUGUCUUAUAUUUUCAUUCUAGUGACCCCCACAAUUCGUUUAAUGUCUUAGUUCUACUAUAAAUAUUAUAGAGGUCGUCUUGGAGACCACUCAAUAUAUAAUUCCUGCAAUGGAAGUCUGAGUGUUUCCAAGAUUCUACAAUCAUGAAAUGCUCUUUGUCUGAGGUUUCCUCGGGCACCUCAGGAGCAUCCUUAGUAGUGAACCUUUAAAGGCAUAGAUUGGUGAGGUAAAAGAACAUCUUUUGCUGCCAUCGCUUAAAGUCAAUGCCCAAAAAUUUUCUGGACUUCUCCGCAGGUGCCAUUGGCUGCAGAGCAUUUGCUUGACUUGUUGAAGCAAUGCUAGUUACCCCCACAGUCGUAGCCGCAUCUUGCAUUUGACUUUCGUUAGUCAUUUUAUUGUCACCACAAGACAAUAAAAUUUAGUAUUUUCAUAAUACUAUUUAUAAAGAUAAGCAACUUUAAACUUUUCUUCUUGUUUCUAGUUAAUGAUGAAGUUUUUAUGACUUCCAAUCGUCAACCGAAUGAUCUUUAACUUGUGAUGAAGAUUUUCUGUCUUCGAAUUACUAGUUAAGUUCAAAUGGAGUACAAAGCUUAAAGCUUUAAUCUCUAAAAACAAGCAAUACAGAUUCUGCAAAAAAUUAUUUCUUAAGAUUGUUAUUUUAUGGUGUUUUCAAGUACGGGAAUUUGUAUUUAGGCACAACAACUUCAACACUAGUUCAAGUUUAAAACAAGAACACUAUGAAGUACAAAAACACAAGAUCAAAGUGAUCUUUCGAAGAAGUGUGUUUUAUUUUUUCAGAAAUUAAGAUGAAACAGAAAUAUAAAGCCAAGUCCCCCGACUUCACGGAGUGUCCUUAAGAAAUAAUUUCCCUCAUUGUACGCGAGGUUUUGGAAUCUUCAUCCCAGGAUAAAAUGACUUUCAAUCCAACUAUAGUGGUACCUCAAAUAAUUGGAUUUGUCGAACUCACUCAACGAUUUGAUUGAUCACAAUGAAUGUUUUGAAGACAAGAAGAGUUUUUAUUCAAGAAAAUUUUUCAUUCAUUUCUAAACCUGUAGAUGAAAGCAGGUUUAUAUAGCCAUCAGAUGCCUCUUCUGAAAGGUGGCAAUGAUUCACUUAAAAGGUGUAUCCUUUGGAAGAGUCAUAUCUAUUCAUUCAAAACAUUAUGUCUUUUUCUGAACAGACACAACUAUCUGAAUAAUCACACCUUUUCCAUACAUAAUAUAUUUUUUGCUCAAAGGUUGUGUCCCUCCAUUUUCCAUUCACACCAAUUAAACCCAACAGAAACAAAUGAAAUCUCACCAUCUUAGUGUGACUGCAUGUUGUUGAAGAGUUUUUCAUUGAAUGAAAAAACGGAUAGGUGACCUCAUCUUAUGGCCUUGGAUAACCUUAACCUUCUGAGCUAACUUUUGGAGUUAAGAUAACUUUAAGAUCUACUAUUUCUUUUUCGAAUAAUGCCAACCAACUCGACCAAGACAUUUAUAUGAAAAAGAUAAAAAAAAAAAAGAUGUGUUAAGUUAGUGUUUUCCCAGCCGACUCGCACACCACCAUCUUUUUUUAGAUUGAAGAAGUAUCAAGAGAAGGUCCACCUCAUCUAAUAUUUAUCGAUAAGUGGGCUUCCCAUAUCAACUUAUUCACUCUCCAAAUAUCCAACCAUGAGUAAGAUCUAUUUCUUAAUACUGGCAACAAGUAUCGAUUGACUUUUACUUUAAUCAUAAGAUUAGAUUCAGUGCCAGACUCUAUGCAUUGUGUUACCACUUAGCAGAGUGCUGUGUUUUUAAUGAACGAUCGAUCGCUACCCCCUGAGUCGCAAUUGACCAUUUCAAUAGACAUAUAGGCAAGGAAACUUCAGUAUGUAUACUUUUCUGUUGAACAUGAGACAACUUGCUUGGGUGUCGAAGAAAGAGAGCCAAAGGGCUAGAUAGAGAGAGGAGAGGGUACUCAAUACUCACCAUUGGCUCUUCACUCCUGUUUUCAAUUAGCAAAAUUAAGAGAGACAUAUCAACAAUUUCAAUACUGUAAAAUAGUUCAAAAUCCUGAAUUUUGCACUGCAUGUAAAAAAGAAAUUCAAAAAUUUAAUCAGUACAAUGAGGUCGGAAAAAAAAUCUCAACAAUGGUUGAUCUAAAAGUUAAUGAACAAAGGAAAAGAGACAUGGCAAAACAAUAAUAGCAAUUUGCCUGAAUUGUACUGGAAUAGAAAAAUUGAAAAGAGGGGAAGAGUCUUAAAACAAAAGAACUUUAUUAUGCAUUCUAACGCUAUAUUCAAAUAUUCUUCCUUCUAAUUAAAAUAGUUGAAGGAUGAAAUUAACAAACAAUGAGAAAACUCGGAAAGAAAGCAGACCAAGAAUUUGAAAUAUGAAAAAGAAUCAAAAACAUGCAAAAUUAAACUGACCGGACGCUAGAAGCCUAAAACCAAGCAAUCCUAGUAGCAGGUUUGAGCAAACAAUUGAUUAAAUGAUAGGGAGAUCCAGCAAAAUUGUUUGAGCAAAAAACAAAGAAAAAGGAGAGCAACCAAAUGAACAGAUGGAGAUCAGAUCGGUGAAAGGAUGGAUGGUAUGGAUAAACGUGGUAAAUUUAGUGCAGGUUGAAUGACACAUAAGGAAAGUAGAGGUGAAGACGAAAAUGCCCUUAGUGCUUAAACAAGCAUGUUGAAACAUAGCCUUUCCUAAUAUAGUAGUAAUAAUAAUAAUCAAUGGCGGAUGUAGAGUAGAAGGUGUGGGUUCCCGGGAACCCACACCCGCUACCGUAAGACUUAAAAUUACAUAAAAAAAUCGUCAAAAGUUAUAAAUAUUAAUAGGUGGGAACCCAUAACUAAACCAAGGGAUAACUUAGUGACAGGAAAGGAGCCCUUGUGAACCCACAAGUUUAUAAUUCUGGAUCCGCCUCUGAUAAUAAUUGAGGAGCUCCUAGGUUGAAAAUCACCAAAACAAAAAAUAGUAUUUACUACUUACCAUAAACGAAGAAAAGGAUAAAUAUAUCCUCAUAACUAUAGUAGGUAUAGGUCAUUUGUUAUAUUUUGAGUACAUAUAUAUUCUUAUCAUUAAUAAAAUAGUACGUAUAUGUUCCUCAGAUUAAUGUCAAAGGCAUAUAUGUAUCCAAAGUAUGACGGUGAUCAUAUGCAUAUCAUGUACCAUAGUUCAAUGGUAUAUUUAUCUCCUUUUCGUUUUAAUUUUUGUAACCCCAAUAAUUAACGGAAACCUACUAUCCAACUCAAUAGAAUCACUAUCCGAUCUUGUCUCAAUUAAAAUUAAAGGAACACCUAACAUAUGCAUUUUUCUCACUCUUGUAACAAUAUAUACACAUAAGCCAGUAACACGCACUACUAUCAAUUUUAAAAAAGAAAUCAUUAACUUGUAACACCUAAAAACAACAUCCAAUAAAUUCAUGUCUCAAUUUUUCAGCGAAAUUUCAUCGAAAAAAUACAAUCCACCACCGGUCAGCACCAUAUAGCCACCGUCUAUGUCGAAUAAAAAAACAUGCAUUGGCGAACCACAUCGCACCGCUAGCUCCAACCACCUUCGACCUAAUCUCCACUCCCUCCAACCCGCAAACACCAACGAAUAGCAUUGAUCAAUCACUGUAAUUUGAUUGUGCUUCAAGUUUAAAAGAAAAAUAGAGAGAGUAUUGAAUUUGAAACAAAAAUAGAAAUUGGAUCGAGUUGGUCUGCAAAGGUUCAAUGGGUUUAUUGAGUUGAAUAGGGAGUUUGAAUUAAUUAUUUUAAAUAAAAAAUUAAACGAAAAAGAAACAAAUAUAUCCCAGAAUUAUGAUAAAUAAUACGUAUAAAUAAUACGUAUAUACUCUACAUUAUACUUUGUGUACAUAUAUGUCCCUACCGUUAGUGUCAGAGAUAUACAUAUAAUUUCAUUAACGAAUAUAUACGUAUCAUUUAUCAUAAUCCCAAUAUAUAUUUACUCUUUUUCCGUACAAUAAAUAAGGAACACAAACUAACCGUCCACCCUGGAAAGUCUACCAAGGUACUACUACCAAUUACUAACAAGACAAGGAGUGGUAUUUGUUAUAGUUUGAGGCUUAGCUUUACUAGCCGAAGCUCCUGGACUCAAAAUCUAUCUUCCAAGACCCACAUCCUCAUUUCGUUGUCUCCGUCAAUCAGCCAUUAGCGUAUGUAAUUAAUUUGCGUAGUGGCAUGUUCGUAUCAGUGGUGAAACCGAGAUAUUUACUAAGGAGUUCAUAAGUGAACAAAUGAAUUAACCAAAGAUGGUCAACAUCUAAUAUAUAUACAUAAAAUUUAAUUUUAAUCAUGUAUAUAUAGCAUAAUUUUUUGUCGAUCUGAACCCCCUCGGCAAAGGGUAGAUCCGCCACUGGUUCGUAUAUUUUACGCGGACCCUUAAUGAGUCUAAGAUUAGAUAUUUGGUUUCAUCAACACAUUCUUCGUACAGACUGCAAAUAAAGAAAAACGGAGAAUGAAAUUGGCAAGCUUGUGACGUGACUAUAUGAAAGCAGUAAUGGUCCUGCAAGUGAAGUGAUGAAGCGGAUGAUUUCAUAAACUUCAAAAGAAAAAAAGACAGAGAAAUAAUACUGGAUAAUGUCAUUACAUAAGCACGGGAAACAAUCCCUAAGAUCGAAUACAUUUGAUUAUAUCAGAGUUCAGUAAGUGCUGAAGCCAAGUUGAAAUUAUAUGCCCCGUAUUGCAUAAAGCAUAUAAAGCUGAAAUGCGUUUAAGAUAUACAAUCCACUUGUUGCUAAUCUUACAUCCAAAACCUUUAUGUAGAUUUGAAUACCAAAAUCAAAACUUCCAAAACCUUUAUGUAGAUUUGACCAUAAAAGAAUAAUCUUCAUAGGUUAAGAUUCCUUUUUAGAAGUUUUGAUAAAAUAAAGAAAAAAACCGCACUCUCCCUUAGGAGCGGAGCCAGCCUCAGAAAAAUAUAUUAUUUAUACGUGAUUAAAAUUCAUUUUUAUAUGAUUAUAGUAAAUGUUAAACUCCCUUUAACUAAGUUUUCUUUGAAUAUAAAACCCUUAGUUAAAAUCCUAAUUUUUUUAAUUUUUUUUUUGAAUAUGAAUCUCCUUCAUUAAAAUCCUGAUUCCGCCUCUGCUCUCCCUAGUUAAAAAACAUCACCCAAUCUAGAGCCUAAUUACAAAAAAAAAUAGUGUUCUUCUAUGCUUCCCUUUAGAUCUACGCUUCCCUUCAGAUUAUUUAAGAAAGUGAGGACUAAUCAAAUCAAUUAUCUCAAGGAACUCAACACGCUUCUUUCCAUCAAAAAUCUCAUCACAAAUUAUGACCUCCUUGUUUUGAGGAUCCUAUAAAGGCCCGUAAAAGAAAGAGUCGGCAGCGCAAAGAGUGGAGAUACGCUAUCAGAAAGCAUUCCCUUCUUUUCACCAACCUCUCGGAUAAACCAUAGAGAGCAUCAUGUUAGAUAUCAACACUAGAAAGCUAAAGCCAGAUUACACACCCAACACAAUGCAACAAAAGAUUUGACAUACUAAUUACAGUACUACAUAGACCGGUAGAAGACAGCAGUCCAAAUGCGCUAAGCAUUCCAAAACUUCCAAUAGAUACUUAAGAUGGCAUCUAGGUAGACAAAGGUAGCAAAUCAGAAGCAUGCAAAAAGCCAGCAAUUGUGGCAAAGAACAUAGAUUAGAACCAGUAUAUUCUUUCUCAACAUAUAUACCACUAGAUAAAAUUUCCGGUGUUAAAGUAAGCAUAUCGAAUGAAAAUAACAAAUUUACAUCUUUGUUCAUAGAAGAGACGAAAUGAAGCUCAACCCACGAAAACAUUAAAGAUCAAUCGAACAACUACAAACAUGUAAAAGAAAAAACUGCAUCAAUAGCCAUUUCAGAUAAGAGUGAGCAACUACUUCAGUCAAAUGUUAAAAUUUAUGCCACAUGGAAAGGAUGUUGCAACAAGGUUUCACCGGGAUUCGCUUUAAAGGAGAGUGAAAAUUAGGGGCCAGAAAAACUCAAGACAUACUAAUUCAAGGGAAGGAAAAGAGAACCAGAAAUCUUAAAUAAAUGUAAAGGAAAUUAUUCAUUAAUCAAGCUCAUACAACAAUUUCUUGUUUACAACUACAAAGCCAAGACCCACAACUUAGAUAAUUACACACACACAAUUCAGAUUACACCAAACACAAUAGACAAAGGACUUUCAACAAAAACAGCUGAUCUGCAUGCACUUGUUUAACCAGAUAUGUCAAUUGCCUUGACCUCAGGUUUCUUCUCCUCUUCUUUCGGAACUGUUACAGUGAGCACUCCAUCCUCCAUAGCUGCCUUAAUUUCCCCUGUUUUCGUAUUCUCCGGCAGCCUAAAUCUCCUCAAAAACUUGCCACUGCUCCUCUCCAUACGGUGCCACUGAUCAUUCUUCUCCUCUUGCUCUCUGCUCCUCUCACCGCUUAUCUGUAGUAUCCUUCCUUCUUCAACUUCGACUUUCACUUCCUCUCUCUUGAUCCCCGGAACGUCUACUUUGAAGAUGUGCGCUUGUGGGGUCUCUUUCCAAUCGAUUCUUGCAUUUGCGAAAGCAGAGGUUUCACGAGCAGAGGAGGGGGUGUUGGCGAUUGUGCUUGAAAUUGGGAAGCCUUCGAACGGAUCCCAUAAGUCGAGGGAGAAUGGGUCGAAGAUGUUGCUCCUGCGACCACCGAAGAAGCUUGGAAUCAGAGACAUUUUUUGGGGACUUUGUCGUUUGAAGAAGACAAAAGAUGAACUAUUACAGAGCUUGAAUUUUUCUUUGAUUGUAGCGUUUAAUAAUUUGCUGAUGACCAAUGAGAGAAGAUGUCGUGAUAUUUAUAGGCGAUGAUGAACCAAGAAACUUAAUGUAAUUGGAGUGUAAUCUAGGAUGUUCUCAGAGUAUUCGACGAUAUUCCCCACAAAGCUAUCAAAUUCGAGGCUAAUCUAGGAUGUUCGUCGGUUGAUUUUUGAUAAGAGAAAUAAGAAGCUUCUACACUAUUCCAGAUAUUUUUUCUGAAGGGUCACUGCACAUUUUUGCUCGUGAAGUCAUAAGGUCGAUUGUAUUCGUCUUAAAUUAAAAAUGGAACGAAAGAAAUAUAUAAUGACUUGACGCUCUUACUAUAUUCGGACUUGUUUCGUCAAUUUGGAUCCUUCUAUUCAUUACAUUGCCAAUUCAAUUCUUAAAUUCAACAAAAUCACAUAUGUAAGCAAAUUAAAAUAAAGAGAUUAAUUUUAGAAAAAAUUACAGAAAUUAGUAUCCUUAAGAUUAUAAUUACAAUAAAUAGCAACACUUUUUUAAAAUUAUAACUAGCAAAAGUAGCAAUAUUUUACUUAUUUCAUAGUAAUAGAACAAUAUGUAUUUUUCAAUUGUGCAUAUAUAUUUAUGAGUAAUAUAUAUAUAUUUGUAUAUGUAUUUAUAUAGCAACAUUUUACUUAAAUACAAAUACAAUUUACUAUUUUUCGUAAUUAUAAAACUGUUGCUAUAAAAGUUAUAAUUAAGGUUUAGAGUUACUAUUUCUGAAACACUUCCAUUAUAGGAGCUCUUAGAUUGAGUUGAAAAUCACCAAAACAAUCUGGCAGCUCAUAAUCGAUAUGUCUAUUUCAUUUAAUUCAAUCAUACUUUUAUUAUAUUAUUUUUAAUUAAUUAUUAUAAAUUAUUUAUAUAUUCAAAAUUAAUAAUAUUUAAUGAAAAAAUAAAAUAGACAUAUAUAACAUAUUUGUUUCUUCAAUUGUAAUUUUAUUAUAUCACUCCUAACUAAGUAUUAUAAGUCAUCUAUAUAUUAAAAAAUAAUAAUAUUUUAUAAAAUAUAAAAUAAACAUAAAAUAAUAAAUUAAUGUUUGAUGUUUUAAAUUAAAUUGACGUCUUAUAUUGAAUCCACUUAAAUUUUUUUCACAAGUAUUUAAUUUUUUUUAUAUCAUUUGUAACUAAUUAUUAUAAUAAUUUAAAACAUAUCUAAUUCGCUGCUUUAAUCGUGAUUUUACUAUAUCAUCCCCUAAUUAAUUAUUAUAAAUUAUUUAAGUAUUAAAAAAUUAAUAUAAUUUCAUAGAAAAAGUAAAAUAUACACAAAAUAAAAGUUAACUCUUAAUAUCUUAAAUUAACGUGUCGACUUAAAUAAGAUUCAUUUAAUUUUUUUUAUAAAUAUUUUUUAUAAUAGUUUUUUAUAUUACUUUUAAUUAGUUAUUAUAAUUCAAUUAAAUAUUAAAAAAUAAAUACUAAUAUUUAAUAACUGACACAAAAUAGAUAUAAAAUACUCCCUCCAUUUUAUUUUACGUGUCAUAAUUUGACUAAGGAUGGAGUCUAAAAAAUAAAAAAAGACUAUGAUUUUUUUAUCAAAUUGUCUUCUAUUAAAAAAAAUGUACUACUAGUAUCUUUAAUUAAGUGGAACCUCAUAAGUUGUACCAAUAAAGAUAAAAGUGAAAUUGUAUCUUUAAAUAAUUAUUAAAUAAGAAAAUAUGCAUUCUUUUUUAUAUAGACCCAAAAAAAAAAUAACGAAACAUAAAAUAGGAUGGAAGGAGUAACAAAUUAAAAAUGAUUGAAUGAAGUAUUUUGCAACGGUAAUAUCUGUGUCAAAAACGACUUACUAAUAUCUAAAUGAUUAAAUUUAAACAAAAUAUUAAAUACAUAGUUGCGAAUUAAGAACUGAAUUAUCAAAAUUUAUUUUUUAUUAGACAUAAAUGAAGCAUAAAAUACGUAAAUAAGGGAAUUAAUUUUUUGUUACUAUUUUAUCAUUUCAAUUCACUUGACAACAUUUAAUCAAGCAUGGAGUAGAAAAAUAAAAUGCUUUUGAAAUUCGUAAAUAAAUAAACGUUAAAUUUUUUACGAUCAUAAAAUAUUUUAUCAAAAAAUAAAACAAAAAUUGUAAAAAUAAAUUGUUUCUUCUCAUCACUCACUACAUGCCACUAUUUACUUACAAUAAAUAGAAAUUAUGUUAGGAACACAAAAUAACCGUCCACCAUGAGAAGUCCAACAAGGUACUACAACCAAAUACCGAACAAAUAGUAGUAGUAUUUGUUAUAGCUCUCGAGGCUUGAGCAUUUCUAGCUGAAGCUCCUGGACUCAAAAUCUACCUUCCUAGACCCACAUCCUCAUUUCGCGGUCUCCGAUUUUGUAAUCCAAAUUUAGUUGAUUCGAUUCUGAAAAGAUCGCGGUGCAACUCACGGUUGAAAUUUUUUGAGGGAUCUGUGAUGGUAGUGUAUUAUAGAAGUGCGACUUAAAGGAUUGAUUUUAAUAUAAUAGUUCUCGUGUGUUAUUAAGAACUUUUACUCCUCCCACUCUUCGAUAUAAUGAAUUCCUCCUCCUCUCUAUGAUUUUUCUCAUCAAAGAUUUUCACUUAAAUCUAUGUGUAUUCAUCUUAUUUUUCUUUUGCUUAUCAUAUUGCUUAUUUAUGUUUGAUUUCAUAUUACUUAAUUUGCAUAGUGGCAUGUUCGUAUAUUUUACACGGACCCUUCAUGAGUCUUGAGAUUUGGAUAUCUUCAAACAAACAGACACUGCAAUAGAGAAAAACGGCAAGCUAGUAACGUGACUAUAUGAAAGCAGUAUUAGACCUGCAAGAAAAGUGAAGGAGCUGAUGAUUCCACAAACUUCAUAAAAACAAAGAAAUAAUACUGAAUAGAUUCACUACAUUUGGCCAUGUCAGAGCUGCAGCCAAGUAGAAGUUGUACUAAAUAUGCCCCACAACAACUCACUUGGCUACUAAUUCUGCAAUCCAAAAACCGUCACACAUAUAAAUCCGAUUACCAAAAUCAAAACUUUAACAGGAAAGUAAUCCUAUAGGUUAAGGCUCCUCCAAAGAAGUUCAGAUAAACUUGUUGUCUUUCACAAGAAUAUGUAAUUUAACACAAUAACUUUAAUAUUAAUUCAAGUUUAAAACAAUAACAUUAUAGAGUUAAUCUUUUUAAGAAAUAUAUAUUUUUUCAGAAAUUUAGAUGAAAUAAAAAUAUAAAGCCAAAUCCCCUAACUUCACAGAAGUUCCUUAAAAAAUAAUUCCCUUCAUUUUAUCCAAAAUUUUUUUAGAAUCUUCCUUAAAAUGACUUUCAAUUCACUGUACCCAAAGUUUUAGAAUCUUCCAAUUAUAAUAAUACCUCAGAUAAUUAAAUUCGUCAAACUCAGCGAUUUGAUUGAUCACAACAAAUAUUUUGAAGACAAAAAGUUUGUAUUUCAGAAAAAAAAAAAUUCCUACCAAAAUCUGUUGAUAAAUGCAGAUUUAUAUAAUCAUCAAAUGCCCCUUCCAAAAAAUGAUAAUGAUUCAUCAAACAAUGUGUAUCCUUUAAAAAAUCAUGUCUGUUCAUUCAAAACAUUUUUUUUUAAACAGACACAACUAUCUGAACAAUUAUUCUUUUACAAAAGAAUUGUGUCCCUUUAUUUUUUAUUCACACCAAUUAAACCCAACAAAACCAACAAAACUAAAUUAACAAAGCACCCUUCACCCAAGUAAAUAUUAUCAGCCAAUUUAGAGCCUAAUUUAGAAAAAAAAAAAAAAAAAAAAAAAAGGAAGGUGCUCCUGCGACGCUUCCCUUUAGAUUCGUCCCUUUAGAUCAUUUUAAGGAAGUAAGGACUAAUCAAACUUAUCAACCCAACAAUAUAUAGAUAGGUGUUAACUCCAUAAUAAAAGAACAAGUAGGAUAAUGCAAUUAGAAAGAGUUGGCAACGCAAACAGUGGAGAUGCACCAGCAGAAAGCAUUCCCUUCUUUUCACUGACCUCCCCAGAUAAAUUAUAGAGAUAACAUCAUGUUAAAUAAAUAUCAACACUAGAAAGCUAAAGCCAGAUUACACACCCAAUACAAAGCUACAAAAGAUUUGACAUACUAAUUACACUAAAUAGACCGAUAGAAGACAGCAGACCAAAUGCACCAAGCAUUCCAAACUUCCAAUAGAUGCUUAGGAUGGCAUGGCAUCUAGGUAGACAAAGGCAGCAAAUCAGAAGCACGCUAAAAGCCAGCAAUUGUAGCAUAGAAUAGAUUAUAUUCUCUCUCGACAUACUACUAGAUAAAAUAUCUAUCAAAUUAAAAGAACAGUCCAGCGUACUAGUAAAUAUAUCAACUAUAACUUACAAAAUCAUAAAAGUCGCACAAUAAUUUCAUUGAAGCUUGAUACUUCGUAAGUGAAUGAAAUUAGACAAACAUAUAUCUUUGUUUAUAGAAGAGAAGAGUAUGAAAUGAAGCUCAACACACAAACAUGACAAAGAUCAAUCGAACAACUACAAACAUGUGGAGAGUGAGCAACAACUUUAGUCAAAAACAUACAAAUGCAAGGAAGGAAAAAGAGAAACAACAAUUUAAAAUAAAUGCUAAAAGGAAAUUAUUCAUUAAUCAAACUCUCACAACAUUUUCUUGUUUACAACUCCAAAGCCAAGACCCACAACUUAGACAAUUACACAGACACAUAAUUCAGAUUACACCAAACAUAACUUACUAAGGACUUUAAAACAACAGUUGAUCUGCAUGGACUUGUUUAACCAGAGAUAUCAAUUGCCUUCACCUCAGAUCUCUUCUCCUCUUCUUUAGGAACAGUUACAGUGAGCACUCCAUUCUCCAUAGCUGCUUUAAUUUCCCCCAUCUUCGUAUUCUCCGGCAGCCUAAAUCUCCUCAAAAACUUGCCACUGCUCCUCUCCAUACGGUGCCACUGAUCAUUCUUCUCCUCCUGCUCUCUGCUCCUCUCACCGCUUAUCUGUAAUAUCCUUCCUUCUUCAACUUCGACUUUCACUUCCUCUUUCUUGAUCCCCGGCACGUCUACUUUGAAGAUGUGAGCUUGUGGGGUCUCCUUCCAAUCGAUUCUUGCAUUUGCGAAAGCAGAGGUUUCACGAGCAGAGGAGGGGGUGUUGGCGAUUGUGCUUGAAAUUGGGAAGCCCUCGAACGGAUCCCAUAGGUCGAGGGAGACUGGGUCGAAGAUGUUGCUCCUGCGACCACCGAAGAAGCUUGGAAUCAGAGACAUUUUUUGGGGCUUUGUUGUUUGAAGGAAACAGAAGAACGUUUAAUAAAAAGCUUGAACGAAUAUUUCUUUGAUUGUAGCGUUUGAUAUGCUUGAAAAUUACUUGGUGAAGACGAAUUAGAAGUGGUGUCGUGGUUUUUAUAGGCAAUGAAUGGAGAGAUUUAUGCGAUGGGAGUGUAAAAAA
rnacentral:lncRNA from 1 species